GCCGGGGUGGCGGAAUCGGCAGACGCUACGGACUUAAAAUCCGUUGGGCAUUUGUGCUCGUGCGGGUUCAAGUCCCGCCCCCGGCACCA
rnacentral:tRNA from 1 species